UACGUAGGGUGCAAGCGUUAAUCGGAAUUACUGGGCGUAAAGCGUGCGCAGGCGGUUCGUUGUGUCGGUGGUGAAAGCCCCGGGCUCAACCUGGGAAUGGCCAUGGAAACUGGCGAACUGGAGUGUGGCAGAGGGGGGUGGAAUUCCGCGUGUAGCAGUGAAAUGCGUAGAGAUGUGGAGGAAUACCGAUGGCGAAGGCAGCCCCCUAGGAUGAUACUGACGCUCAUGCACGAAAGCGUGGGGAGCAAACAGG
rnacentral:rRNA from 1 species